UACGUAGGGCGCAAGCGUUGUCCGGAAUUAUUGGGCGUAAAGAGCUCGUAGGCGGCUUGUCACGUCGGCUGUGAAAACCCGGGGCUCAACCCCGGGCCUGCAGUCGAUACGGGCAGGCUAGGGUUCGGUAGGGGAGACUGGAAUUCCCGGUGUAGCGGUUAAAUGCGCAGAUAUCGGGAGGAACACCGGUGGCGAAGGCGGGUCUCUGGGCCGAAACUGACGCUGAGGAGCGAAAGCGUGGGGAGCAAACAGG
rnacentral:rRNA from 1 species